UACGUAGGGGGCAAGCGUUGUCCGGAAUUAUUGGGCGUAAAGCGCGCGCAGGCGGCUGUUUAAGUCUGGUGUAUAAACCUGGGGCUCAACUCCGGGUCGCACUGGAAACUGGAUAGCUUGAGUGCAGAAGAGGAGAGUGGAAUUCCACGUGUAGCGGUGAAAUGCGUAGAGAUGUGGAGGAACACCAGUGGCGAAGGCGACUCUCUGGGCUGUAACUGACGCUGAGGCGCGAAAGCGUGGGGAGCAAACAGG
rnacentral:rRNA from 1 species